rnacentral:lncRNA from 1 species
UUACAAAACAAUACACAAUUAUUCUUGCAAACAUGGAUAGAUUCAUAGCCGAGUCCCAUGGCAUGGAUGUACUUCAUUGCAUCAUCGUAAGAUGUUGGAACACAUGCUCCUAGGAAAGCAAGGGAUACCACCUUCAGAAUCGCUUUGAAUGCGACAUUGCUGAUCCGAUAGAAAGGCUUGAUAUGAAGUAACUUCACAACAAAUGUAAAUUAUGUAUAUUUAAAUCCCGGUGACACCUUACAGUUUAUAUAUUCCUUUAUACAUUCUAACAUUUUCCCUCCAAUCUCUUUAGUCUCAGCUAUCAUUUCAGGAAGUCCAUCUUCGGUACCUUCAUCCUCCUUCAUACCCGAUAUGUGUACGUUUUCCUAAACCAUUUCCUGAUCACCAUCAUCCUACAGAACUUCAUUAUCCACAACCCCCUCAUCCGGCAGAAUUGCAGCUUCCUCAACCCCAUCAUCCUACAGAAUUGCAUUUUCCUGAACCCCAUUAUCCUAUAGAUUUGUAUUUUCCUGAACCCUAUCCUCGAAUGUUUCUCCAUGAUGGAUCCA